AUGGAUUUAUCUGCGAGAUCGAUAGGGCGCAGAAGGGUUUGAUCUACUCCGGCCUAAGGCGACGUCGUUAGGAAAUCUUUUGUGGAUAUUCGGCGCCCUCGAGGAAGGGUCCGUGACCCAAAAAACGCUCCUUCAAUAGCACACCUCCCCAGCUUCAUUUUUAUGGAUGUUUGGGGUGAGCACGCGGACCCCCUCACCACUGGAUUACAGAAUCUCUGAAAUCUUCACCUCGACUCAAAAACCACGGAAAUGCAGAAGACAUCCAGGGAGAGUCUGUAAGGAAAAACAAAAUCCAAGGCCGAAACGCCCCAGAAAUCUCUCCCCUUAAACAGCAAGGAGAUCGGUGAUGUAUCGGGAGCAUUUAUUGAGCCCCUACCCUGUGCGGAGCUCUGUACUGAGCGCUUGGGAGAAUACGGUAGAGGUUUUUUUCCCUUCAAGCAGGGUACUCAGACUCGGACAUCCUUUCCAUAGGGAAGGAAGACGUUAUACCGCGUCAAUAAAAUGAUGAUGAUAAUU